AGCCCCCCCGAGGACAGCCUGGAGACAACGUCCACGGCAGGGGGACGAGCCUACAGAAGCACCAAGGGCCCAGGGAGAAGGCGCUGGGCAGAAGGUGCCUGACCACACGCACAACCUUUCAACACGGGCACCGGCUCCAGCUCUUCUCCUGUGCGGCUGGCAUUUCCAAGCAAGGUCUCAGAUGUGCUGCUAACCCUCUGAUACUAGCAGUCAUCGUAAGAGAACAGGCUUAGAAUAGAAACCGAAAACAGAAGAGGCUCUCUAAACAGAAACUGGAGAGUCCUGACUGAGCCCUGACUGUAUGCCAGGCGCAUCCACUCACUGAGCCGCGUAAGAAUUCUGCGGGGAGGAAUUCUCCUUCUCACCCUCAUUUCAUGGGCGAGGAAGUCGAGGCACAGAGAGCUUCAGACAAAUCCAAUGCUCAAAGUCAUAAGAACAGUGAAUUUUUCCUCACUGAAUCCGGAGGCCUAGAAGGGCCCCUCCUGUCUAGGUGCUGAAGAGGCCAAAAGAUGGCAGAGAAGCAACUGUUCUCCUACGCCCUGUUCAGCUGGCCACAGGACAUCCUGUCCAGCUCACCAAACCAAGCGGGCAGGAGCAAAGGUGCCGCAACUGGAAGGGGCCCAGCCCCGGCCGCGUGCGGACGUGAGUUCUGAGCGGUGUGGUGCUGUCGCGGGAUCGGACCCUGGCGUUCCCAGCUUUGUGCAGCCCACAAAGAAGGGGGCCUUUAACGCUCUCCCGAGAAAGCUUCACCCUGGGACAUGUCAGGUCCCACAGAUGGCAACACGACGAAAUCCGGCAGGGUGGGAGCCUCAGGUACCAGAAACUCCAAAAUGAUUUAAAAAUGAGCCCUCCUGGAGGACUUCCCUGGUGGCACAGUGGUUAAGAAUCCGCCUGCCAAUGCACAGGUCACGGGUUCGAGUCCUGGUGCGGGAGGAUCCCACAUGCCGCGGAGCAACUAAGCCCAUGCGCCACAACUACUGAGCCCGCGUGCCUAGAGCCCAUGCUCAGCAAGAAACAGAAGCCACCGCAAUGAGAAGCCCGCACACCUCAACGAAGAGUAGCCCCCGCUCACCGCAACUAGAGAAAGCCCGCGCGCAGCAACAAAGACCCAAUGCAGCCAAAAAUAAAUAAAUAAAUAAAUUUAUUUUUAAAAAAAUUA